ACUUCAAGUAGUGUGGACUCAGAGUUACAUGUGAAAUAGAGUAAUUAUGUCCUAAAGUUUGCAAAGCAAGAUGUUUUUCCUAACCUAAAUUACUUGGAGUUCUACUGUACAGUGCUGUAAUUGCAACAUGACAUUUUCUCUUUUUUUUUGUAUCCAAGUUUCUCAUUUUUAUGGAGCUGUGAUUUUAGCCAGAAAGUAUAAGUCAAGCAUUUCCUAGUGAAAAAAUGAUAACAGUCCUCUCUGUUAUUGCAGACAAACCUAUUCCAGGUAUGGGAUACUUCAGCUACUGUAUUCCAAAUAAGAGAAAUCCUGAUUUAAGACAUUUGUGUCACUGCAGAACACCCUAUGGUUCAUGCAAGAUAUUCUCAGGUGGAUGAAGAAUCACAAGUAUGUAAUGGGAAAGUAAGAAAAUUUACACAUGGGGAGCAUUUUUGGAUUACCCUGAGCUCAGAGAGAGAAGCUGCCAUCCUAGGCUACAGCUGAGGAAAGGGUCAAGAAUGGGCCCAGCUACAGCUUUGCACGGAUUGGAAAAGGUCAGAGAAGGACAUGCCCUUCAGAGGAUACUGCUGUGAGGAAAAUCUGGGAAAUUGACAGAAAUUAUGGAAGACCAGAAAUGCCUUUAUCUGAGUGCAUCUUUUUUUGUUCAACGUUGCCACUAAUCCCAGGAGUCCAGUUGUAAAUGCUUUGGUUACAUUUCUGAGACAUGAAAAUUAUCUCAGUUCCUCAGUAUCUACAUAUAAAAAUCUAAAGCACAGCUGCAUCAAGUCUGCAAUUUAAACUCUUAUUCAACUCAGUACAUUUAACAAAGCUGAACAAGUCUUUCUGUAAUGCCUGUCUAUAAAAACAAAAUCCCUCCCUGUUUUGCCACUUCUUACUGGCUAAAACAAACUACCUUUCUAUCAAUAAGGAUGUGAGUUUGUUUAGCUUUUCACAGACCUUUCCAGACAACUGAGAAAAUGAGGCUUUAGGAGGAGAAAAUUAUCAAUCUUUUCAGAAGACAAAUUAUUUUGAAAUUUUGUGAUAUAAUAAUACUGUGUGUGUUUAUAUCUAUUCCUUAAAUAGAAAAAUGUUCUUCCCUGAUCUAAUGCUCUGCCCUUCUAUUAUUAAUUGUGAAAUGAAAAAUAAAGUAGUCUUGCUUGACCUUCUCAAUCCAGAAUGGGUCACAUGUAAUUCAGAAAGCAUUUUAUCUCCCUUGGUAAACUGAGUCUCAUAAUGAUGUAACUGAGACAAAGGCAAACAGCCAAAAGGGAGACCCUUUUUCACAAGAGGAAUCAGGAAAGGGGUGCUGAAGAGAAAAAGGGAGAAUGUGUAAAUGUAUUUGUAGGCUUUCAAAGACAACACUUUUGGGGACUGACAGAACAUUAUGUUAUAUGCUUUUAUGCUGACAAAACACACAAUUACUAAGGAAAACUGCAAUCUUCAUUAUCAUAUUUUGCCACCUGCUGGUCAGCAGUUGCAGUGUCAGGAAGACCUGACCAUACUCCAGAAACUUUUUUUUUCAAGAUUAAGGGCCACAGGACUACAAUAUGCAUCAUGUAACGUGGCUGAGACUCCAGCAUUUCAAAUUUAUCUAUCUCCUAGCUAUGAAAUGGGGGUAGUAAUUGUUACCCUCAUCCUCUAAAAUACCUGGCUUGUGCAACAAAUGCUGAGAUAGCUGAAAUCUCUCUACAAGUUUGAACUUUACCCUACUCUGUAAUCCCAACUAAAACAAAGGGUAAGUGGCUGUGAAGACCCUCAGGGAAAACAAGAUGAACAGAUGCAUUUCAAGGCAUCAGCCCAUUAGAUUUACCUAAAGUCUUGAAAUACCCAGCAAAUGCUGCCAACAAAAGUCCAUUUCAUCCAUUAGGCAGCAAGUAUCCUUGUCCUUGCAUUAACAAAGACCAUCUGAUUAUGGAGGCCAAUACUCUGGUACUGCUGCCAGUGAUGGCCAGUCCAAGUGGUUUGAACAUUCUAGAGCUCCUGCACUGUCAGCUACUCACUGACGAUGGAAGACUAGAAGUAAGUACUCAGAAAGGGUUUUCUAAAAGUUGUAAUUAAGAUGAUAUAACCCAUCCAUUAAAAAAUAUACAAAGGGGGGAGCAAAUGGGAGGAGUGCCAGAAUCAACAUUCAGUUGAGUAAAAUGCUAAUGCUGUCCUAAUCUGGUUUCUUUGUAUUUAUACUUUUCUCUUUAGUCUCCAAUUACAUGAUCACAUUGCAUAUUUUCCACAGGACCCUCCCAGUGCAUAGCAUGGGCAGGGCUCUAGGAAUGAAGUGGGAAGAAAGGAGGCCUGUUCUCUUAAGUUGGCAGGCUCAUGUUGGGAGCCAGGGGACCAAUGCACUAUGAAUUACCAAAAUUAUCUAAAGGCUCUGAAGAAUCAAAUUCUCUUCCUGCUUCUGUCCCAAAAUUUCCAUACAAUACCAUCAACCAAAUUUUACAUAUGUGGACCAUAAAUACACAUUACUCACUUUCCACACCUCCCAUCCUUCAUAUGAGGCACUUCAGGCCAUGCACUUAGCAUUUUUCUAAGCCAAAAUUGCAACUAAAGACAAUGGGCUUUAUACACUAUACAUUAUGGGUUGAAGGGUGGAGAAUAAAAAAUAAAAAAAAAAAAAAGGAAAAAAAAAAAAAGAAAAAUAUUUCAGCUUGAACAAAGAUAAUUGACAGUUCUGAUAUUGUACUUUGUUCUCUGCUUCUAAAUGGAACAAACGGUUUUCUUGGGCAUGCAACCACAAAAACUGAGAUAUCAGGUUAAACAACAUGAACAGGAAUGCCUUAAAUGCGAAUUAAAAUUAGUGUAUGAAAACAAAGCUGAAGGGUACAGAAUCAAAGAAUGGUUUGGGUUGGAAGGGAUCAUCUGGUUCCAACCCUCCUGCCACAAGGAGGGACAAUUCCUACUAAGACCAGGUUGUUUCAGAGCCCCACCCAACCUGCUCUUGAACACUUCCAGGAUGGGGCAUCCACAGCUUCUCUGGGAAGCCUGUGCCCGUGCCUCACCACCCUCACAGUAAAGAAUUUCUUCCUAACUUCUAAUCUAAACCUGCUCUCUUCCAGUUUAAAGCCAUUUUCCCUUGUCCUUAUUGCCCUUGUAAAAAGCCCCUCUCUGGCUUUCUUGUAGGCACCCUUUAGGUACUGGAGGCUAACAUAUACACAUUAUUAACAUGAAAGAAAAACAUUAAUAAGCUCAGAAGGCACUGGAUGGACAAACCAGAGAUUCCACAUUUGACCUGCUGAAAAAAGAUGAAGGGCUCUCCUAUUUUGAUUGCACAAGAUAGUGUAAUCACACAUAAUGCUGUAAUUGAGGAUUAUAUUAAUGGUGCAAAUGCAGAGAUAAAUCUGGCAUUUCUUUACUCUGAAGUAGUAUCCUUCCAGACUACCCUGUUUUACACUGGGUGUAAUACUCAAAGUGCACAUGCACUUGCAGACGUAAGAAACUCUUUUCAGCUCUUUGUUUUCAGCUAGAGGCAGACAAAGCAUUGCCAAUAAAACAUUCUUCUGCUUUUGUGCUGUGCACUAGCAAGCAUCUCAGAAUGCAGCUAGAAUAAAAGCAUGAAAGAAAAAACAGAGUAAGACUCUGCAGUUCUUCAGGGCCCAUCAUCCACUGUUCCAAGCAGACUCUCCUAAUUGACUUGGCUGCAUGCCAGAAAAUAAAUAAACAGAAAGCACCUUUCUCAACAUAGCUUUGGGCAUGGAUGGUCAUGUUAGGGAAUGAAUCCCCCCACCCACACACACCAACAGCAGUUAAAGCAACAUGCUCUGUUUUCUGUUUGGCAGCCAUUCCACUGUGCUAUGAAAUACCAUAUGCAGAUGUGUUCAUCCCAUGCUGGCACAUAAAGUUUCUUUCCUCUACUUUUUACAAAUAAUAAUUCUUUUAGGCAGCAUUUAUAUAUAAGAAAUUGGACCUGGAUGUGAGUAAACUUGUGUCCUGUGUACAAAGAUAAUAUUCAUGCAAACUCUCAAAAUAAUAAAAGGAAAAAUAUUUGAAAUUAAGUAUGCAGCUUUAAGUCUUCUAACAACAAAUGCUUUGUGAAGACUAGCAUCAGUUGUGUUGAUUUAGAUAAAUAAAAAGAAAGGAAU